AUUGAACGCUGGCGGCAUGCUUUACACAUGCAAGUCGAACGGCAGCGCGGGCUUCGGCCUGGCGGCGAGUGGCGAACGGGUGAGUAAUGCAUCGGAACGUGCCCAGUAGUGGGGGCUAGCCCGGCGAAAGCCGGAUUAAUACCGCAUACGACCUGAGGGUGAAAGCGGGGGACCGAAAGGCCUCGCGCUAUUGGAGCGGCCGAUGUCGGAUUAGCUAGUUGGUGGGGUAAAGGCUUACCAAGGCGACGAUCCGUAGCUGGUCUUCGAGGACGACCAGCCACACUGGGAAUGAGACACGGCCCAGACUCCUACGGGAGGCAGCAGUGGGGAAUUUUGGACAAUGGGGGCAACCCUGAUCCAGCCAUGCCGCGUGCGGGAAGAAGGCCUUCGGGUUGUAAAACGCUUUUGUUCGGGAAGAAAUCCUCUGGGCUAAUACCCCGGGGGGAUGACGGUACCGGAAGAAUAAGCACCGGCUAACUACGUG
rnacentral:rRNA from 1 species